rnacentral:tRNA from 1 species
GGUGUAGCUCAGUGAUAGAGCCCUUGCUUAGCAAACACAAGGCCCUGGGUUCAAUACCCAGCACC